rfam:Brachypodium distachyon strain Bd21 chromosome 2, whole genome shotgun sequence.
UAUAUACUCCCUCCGUCCCAUAAUAAGUGUCAAAUAUUACAUGUAUCUAAAAACCUUUUAGGUAUAGAUACAUUCAUAUUUGGGCAAAUUUGAGUCACUUAAUAUGUGACGAAGGAAGUAUAUC